rnacentral:rRNA from 1 species
UACGUAGGCAGCGAGCGUUGUUCGGAGUUACUGGGCGUAAAGAGUGCGUAGGCGGUUUUCUAAGUUUGGUGUGAAAUCUCCCGGCUUAACUGGGAGGGUGCGCCGAAAACUGGAAGGCUUGAGUAUGGGAGAGGUAAGCGGAAUUCCUGGUGUAGCGGUGAAAUGCUUAGAUAUCGUCAAGAACACCGAUAGUGUAGACAGCUUACUAGGCUUCAACUGACGCUGAGGCACGAAAGUGUGGGGAUCAAACAGG